rnacentral:rRNA from 1 species
CCUACGGGAGGCAGCAGUAGGGAAUCUUCCACAAUGGACGAAAGUCUGAUGGAGCAACGCCGCGUGAGCGAUGAAGGCCUUCGGGUCGUAAAGCUCUGUUGUUAGGGAAGAACAAGUACCGGAGUAACUGCCGGUACCUUGACGGUACCUAACCAGAAAGCCACGGCUAACUACGUGCCAGCAGCCGCGGUAAUACGUAGGUGGCAAGCGUUGUCCGGAAUUAUUGGGCGUAAAGCGCGCGCAGGCGGUCCUUUAAGUCUGAUGUGAAAGCCCACGGCUCAACCGUGGAGGGUCAUUGGAAACUGGGGGACUUGAGUGCAGAAGAGGAAAGCGGAAUUCCACGUGUAGCGGUGAAAUGCGUAGAGAUGUGGAGGAACACCAGUGGCGAAGGCGGCUUUCUGGUCUGUAACUGACACUGAGGCGCGAAAGCGUGGGGAGCGAACAGGAUUAGAUACCCUGGUAGUCCACGCCGUAAACGAUGAGUGCUAAGUGUUAGAGGGUUUCCGCCCUUUAGUGCUGCAGCUAACGCAUUAAGCACUCCGCCUGGGGAGUACGGCCGCAAGGCUGAAACUCAAAGGAAUUGACGG